rnacentral:rRNA from 1 species
GACGAACGCUGGCGGCGUGCCUAAUACAUGCAAGUCGAGCGGACGAAUCGAAAGCUUGCUUUUGAUUCGUUAGCGGCGGACGGGUGAGUAACACGUGGGCAACCUGCCCUGUAGACGGGGAUAACACGAGAAAUCGGUGCUAAUACCGGAUAACACGAAAUGUCGCAUGACGUUUCGUUGAAAGACGGCGCAAGCUGCCGCUACAGGAUGGGCCCGCGGCGCAUUAGCUAGUUGGUGAGGUAACGGCUCACCAAGGCGACGAUACGUAGCCGACCUGAGAGGGUGAUCGGCCACACUGGGACUGAGACACGGCCCAGACUCCUACGGGAGGCAGCAGUAGGGAAUCUUCCGCAAUGGACGAAAGUCUGACGGAGCAACGCCGCGUGAGCGAAGAAGGCCUUCGGGUCGUAAAGCUCUGUUGUUAGGGAAGAACAAGUAACGCAGUAACUGGCGUUACCGUGACGGUACCUAACGAGAAAGCCACGGCUAACUACGUG